AGAGUUUGAUCAUGGCUCAGAAUGAACGUUAGCGGUGUGCUUAACACAUGCAAGUCGUACGAGAACUCUUUAGCUUGCUAAAGAUAGUAAAGUGGCGUACGGGUGAGUAACGCGUGGGUAAUCUACCUCUGAAUCUGGGAUAACUCCGCGAAAGCGGGGCUAAUACCGGAUAAUAUCUCAAAAACCCUGGUUUUUGAGAUCAAAGAUGGCCUCUACAUGUAAGCUAUUAUUUGGAGAUGAGCCCGCGUACCAUUAGCUUGUUGGUUGGGUAAUGGCCUACCAAGGCUACGAUGGUUAGCUGGUCUGAGAGGAUGAUCAGCCACACUGGAACUGACACACGGUCCAGACUCCUACGGGAGGCAGCAGUGAGGAAUUUUGCGCAAUGGGGGAAACCCUGACGCAGCAACACCGCGUGAGUGAUGAAGGCUUUCGGGUCGUAAAGCUCUGUCAAGUGGGAAGAACGUAAUAAAUGCCAAUAACAUUUUUUAUUGACGGUACCACUGAAGGAAGCACCGGCUAACUCCGUGCCAGCAGCCGCGGUAAUACGGGGGGUGCAAGCGUUAUUCGGAAUUAUUGGGUGUAAAGGGCGCGUAGGCGGUCUUUUAAGUCAGAUGUGAAAGCCCGAGGCUUAACCUCGGAAGUGCAUUUGAAACUGGAGGACUUGAGUAUGGGAGAGGGAAGUGGAAUUCCUGGUGUAGAGGUGAAAUUCGUAGAUAUCAGGAGGAACAUCGGUGGCGAAGG
rnacentral:rRNA from 1 species